UUUGGGGUCUCAGCUUCAUCUCAUGGUCUUACAGAUGCUAAUGAAAGCAUUAAGGCAAUUACUAACACAGUG